UACGUAGGGUGCAAGCGUUGUCCGGAAUUAUUGGGCGUAAAGGGUGCGUAGGCGGCCUGUUAAGUUUGAUGUGAAAUCCCGGGGCUCAACCCUGGAAUUGCAUUGAAUACUGGCAGGCUAGAGUACCGGAGAGGAAACUGGAAUUUACGGUGUAGCAGUGAAAUGCGUAGAGAUCGUAAGGAAGACCAGUGGCGAAGGCGAGUUUCUGGACGGUAACUGACGCUGAGGCACGAAGGCCAGGGGAGCAAACGGG
rnacentral:rRNA from 1 species